CAAGGGGCUCGCUAACCAGAGCGUGCAGCAGGUGGGGAGCUGGUGGUGCCAUGGUGGUGCAGUGGUUAGUACUCAACGCUGUGUGCCGCGGCAGCGUGACAGCAUCUGCAGAAAGCCAGAUUUGAUUUGAUUUGGACGAAAGUGUCAGCUCGAGUCCGGUGUGUGUGCAGAGUCCCCGCAGCGAGGAUUUGUGAAGCGUUUGCACUGAGCUCUGAGUUUCUGUCAAAACAGCGCUCUCUGCAGAGAUCUCGACAAACACUUCACAACCACUCUCAGUCUUUCCAGAAAUGCCAGCAGGCUUUGUAGCCGCCACAGGGACGAAG